rnacentral:rRNA from 1 species
UACGGAGGGAGCUAGCGUUAUUCGGAAUUACUGGGCGUAAACGCACGUAGGCGGCUUUGUAAGUAAGAGGUGAAAGCCCAGAGCUCAACUCUGGAAUUGCCUUUUAGACUGCAUCGCUUGAAUCAUGGAGAGGUCAGUGGAAUUCCGAGUGUAGAGGUGAAAUUCGUAGAUAUUCGGAAGAACACCAGUGGCGAAGGCGGCUGACUGGACAUGUAUUGAUGCUGAGGUGCGAAAGGCGUGGGGAGCAAACAGG